rnacentral:rRNA from 1 species
UACGAAGGGGGCUAGCGUUGCUCGGAAUCACUGGGUUUAAAGGGUGCGUAGGUGGGCAGUUAAGUCAGUGGUGAAAUCUCCGGGCUCAACCCGGAAACUGCCAUUGAUACUAUCUGUCUUGAAUAUCGUGGAGGUAAGCGGAAUAUGUCAUGUAGCGGUGAAAUGCUUAGAUAUGACAUAGAACACCAAUUGCGAAGGCAGCUUACUACCCGAAUAUUGACACUGAGGCACGAAAGCGUGGGGAUCAAACAGG